rnacentral:rRNA from 2 species
GACGAACCGUGCGAACGUUAUUCGGAAUCACUGGGCUUAAAGCGCGUGUAGGCGGAUCGGAACGUCGAUGCCUGAAAUCCCCCGGCUCAACCGGGGAACGUGGCCCGAAACGACCGGUCUCGAGGGGUGUAGGGGGGACUGGAACUUCCGGUGGAGCGGUGAAAUGCGUUGAGAUCGGAAGGAACGCCCGUGGCGAAAGCGAGUCCCUGGACGCCUGCUGACGCUGAGACGCGAAAGCUAGGGGAGCGAACGGG